UGAAGGAAAGUCAGCUUAGAGCUCAGAUUAAGGAAGUUACUAGAUGGGUUAAGAUGGGAGCCGCUGAUAAAGGAGGAAUUUGGCACAAAGGGUACCUACCUAUUUUACCUUAGUUACGGUUUAAAUAGGCUGUUGUAUUGAUACCUGGGCAGAGCCAGGUAUCAAAGGGGGGAUGGGUAGUUGUGGUCUAGGAUAGGACACUUUGUGGCCUAUUGGAUAAUAAACUAUUAAAUAAAAAAUUCUAGCUAACAAUUAGGCAUAGAAGUUAAAGAUAUCAUCAGACAGAACAAAUGAGAAACUGUUUGGUAACCAAACCUGUAUGUCCAAGAUUUUAUACACUACAGGUGAAAUACAGGAGAAGGCGAUUCACUCAAUCCAGUCCCUGAGGAGAAUAGACGGGAAGCAGCCCUGUUGGGAGGGGCCAUACCAAGUAUUCCCGGUGACAGCCUUCACGUUGAGAAUAGCUGAAAGAGCUACCUGGGUGCAUAUCACACAUUGUAGGAGGGUAAGACACACUAACACUGUCGAACAAUCACAGGGGUAGAUUCCUUUAUACCCGACCUUUCCCCGCUGUGAGCGUUCAUAGAAGUGAAAGUAUGGCUUGGCCUCUGGCUGAUGAUAUGUUCUCUGGGAAAUGGUGGGGCUUUACAGGAGUGCUGGUUGGUCUGAGCUGUCUUAUUGUGGGAGCAAUAUAUUCCUUAAUACACCAUGACCCAUCCGAGAAUUCAGAUGGUAACUUGAUCCAUAGUUAGACGAUGAGGAUGUUGUAUUAACCAAGCAUAAGAGAUCACUUAAUCUGGAUAAACAGGAAGUGAGAGUGGAGAUUGGGAAGGAUGUCUCAGUUGAGUCCUAUGUAGACCAAAUGGGGUCUCUGACUCCUUGGCAGUCUAGGACUAUGAGCCAUUAUGGAAAAUAUCUGUACAGGUCCCUGUGUAGUUCAUGGACACAGGUCAUAGCUCACACAGUGAGAGAGGGCUAUAUGAAUCCACAUACCCAGUAUGGAAGGAGGUGGAGUAUAGUGAAGGUAAAGGUUUCAGUUGACACCCUAGUGCCAUUCCUGGAAGUAGAAGUUAGGGCAGAUGAUAGCUCUAUAGUCAGCCAGAAUACAAGCAGAACCCCAGAAAAAAACAGAUACUAACAGCAGAGUCGUCCUGAGCCAAGGGCCGGUGCGGAUAGUGCAGACAAAAGAUCUUAAGGAAGUGAUUGAGGUGGAAACUGGUUAUGGGGUUCUAACCUAUGGUUAGAAUAGAUUCAGUAUACAGCCAGAUCAAUAGCGUAAAAAGAAUGUUAGGCCUGCGCCACAGCAAAACCUCAGUUGACAACCAUUCCCUUUCCAUUUGAUGGAAUUGAUGCACCCAGGGGAAUGGCCGGUAUGGUAAAGCUGUUCAUGAGGGCAGGAAAGCCAGACAGUGACAGUUGCAUUAUCUAUAUCCCUAUGUGCCGAUUACAGCCAGACUUCACCCUUUCACAGUUACAGGAGGACAUUAUUAUGGUAUGGCUCGCUACAUCACACGGAUGGGACGUAGGGGAAGUAAUAACAUGCAAUAGGACAGAGAAUGUUACAAUCGACGGGACAAUGAGGGACAUGACUGGCAGAUGAAAGGCCUAAAGUGGAUCUUUAGUGGUUUGUGGAGGUGUAAGACUGUGGCCUAACCUGCCUCCCAAUUGGCCUGGCAGUUGUGCACUAGUGCAGUUAGGCAUGUCCUUCACCCUUACCCAGAGCCCGGUAGAAGAGAGAGGAGUGCUCCGUCAGGAUCUUUUGCCAAUAGAGUUUACAUUAAUAGCAUUGGAGUUCCAAGGGGGUUACUUGAUUAGUUCUGGAUUGGAAUCAAGCAUCUUGAUAACUGGGGGGAUGACACAGCUCCAGACAGAUCAGUGACCAAGGCCCUGGCAGAGAACUGGGGAAGAUAAUGCUCUAACAAAUUGGUUUGAUAGUGUGUUUGGGAAAUGAAGAAAUGUCAUGAUCACUGUGUUUUGGGCAACCUUCACCUGUGUGACUGUGUUAGUUUUGUGCGGAUGAUUCCGGUGUGAAAGGUUCUCAUUUCCAGGACUCUGGGGAAAUCGAUGACGCAACAGAUGGUGAGUUACGGGCCGAUUCCGAGCUCUGACCAGUGGAAUGAAAAAUACAUGACUCUAGACCUAGCAGAUGGAUCUGGCUCCUUUACAUACGAAGAGCCUAAGUUGGAUGAGACCAUUUCUGAUGUUUAGGGAUUUUAGUUUGUUUCUUGUUUUCAUGUUUAGACUGUUUCUUUGAUGAAGAUUGUAAUGAAAAUCCCGAUAAGAAGAGUUCUGAUGUAGGCCUAGAACAGUCAGUGUAAAUGCAUGUAUUGGUUUCUGUUAGGUUGUAUUUGGAUAACAAUAAAUAUUUCUAAUAAAAAUUAGAUGUGUGCUUUUUAAUAUUUUUAAUAAAACUAGAUGUGUGCUGGAUGUAUAAUAUUUAGUCAAAGGGUGGAUAUGUUGAAGUAUUUUUAGCAAAUAUGACUAAAUAAUGUAUACAUUGGGCGUAGAGUUAUAAUAUAAUUCACAGAGUGGUCUGUCGUCUAUUAAAAUAAUAUGUUGGUACAUAGGCCAAGAGGAAGGGUCAACAGAUAACUCAUGAUCACAGUGAAACUAACAACAGGAAAUAUGUCUGGUCCUCAACCAGGGAGGGGAGAAACCGUUGGCCGUGCAGUAGAUUGUGUAACAUAUGGUAGCCGAAGAUAACCAAUGUGUAUGUGUUGGAAUGGAAUUGAAAUGCAGCUUUGUCAUUGUCUGAGAGGAGGAGGGACAUUUAUGACGAAAUGAGAGGUAUAUCAACCAAUGUUCAGGAAAUGAUAUGCAGAGCUCCCGAGAAUAAACGUCACUGACUAUUUUUGGCUGGUCUCCGUCUGUUUCAUUUCCCCCAGAACCUUACAAACUCUGGGUACAGACUGAGUUUUUAAUUGAAUUGGUGAAAACAUAAGAACUAAAUUCAUCUAACAAGGUUGCCCUUGAAAGGAAGCGGCUGAGUACUCAGAACUGGCUGCGUAGUGCAAGGAAGCUGGCUGGAAUCCUGUCAUCUACCCCGUAGAAGUGGGAUGCAGAGGCUUCUUGGGAACUCCAACAAUCCGCCUUCUCAAAGGCACAGGAAUGGCAGAAGCGAAGCUGAAAAAGGCACAACAGAGCUGGCAGAGAAAGGGGAAGGACAGGAGUUGGGGAACGAAGAACUAACAUCUAGUGCAGGGGUGUCAAACUCAUUUUCGUCUUAAACGAGUUCCAGAGGGCUGCACUGAAAAUAUGUUAUAUUUUCUUGCCGUCAGAAUUUCCGAAGCUCCCUGAUUGUCUCGUGAACUGUAUGAACUGUAUGAACUGUAUCAGCCCAUUAUUAUUUCGACACAGUUUAGAUUUGGUUUUAGUCAUUUUCAAGUAUAUUGACCUCGUGUCUCCCCCCCCAAAAAAAACAAUUCCAAAUAUAAACUUACUCAAACAACCUGCGGGCCGGAAUGGAGCCCCUCACAGGCCGAAUCCAAGCUGGUUUACGACACCAUUGAAGGUGUGACAGGCAGCGAUGCCCAGCAGGACCUGAGCCCUAGGACCAUGCCCCAGGACUACCUGACAUGAUGACUCCUUGCUGUCCCCAGUCCACCUGGCUGUGCUGCUGCUCCAGUUUCAACUGUUCUGCCUUAUUAUUAUUCGACCAUGCUGGUCAUUUAUGAACAUUUGAACAUCUAGGCCAUGUUCUGUUAUAAUCUCCACCCGGCACAGCCAGAAGAGGACUGGCCACCCCACAUAGCCUGGUUCCUCUCUAGGUUUCUUCCUAGGUUUUGGCCUUUCUAGGGAGUUUUUCCUAGCCACCGUGCUUCUACACCUGCAUUGCUUGCUGUUUGGGGUUUUAGGCUGGGUUUCUGUACAGCACUUUGAGAUAUCAGCUGAUGUACGAAGGGCUAUAUAAAUAAAUUUGAUUUUAUGUCAAACGA